rnacentral:rRNA from 1 species
CUGGAGGUAUCAGAAGUGCGAAUGCUGACAUAAGUAACGAUAAAGCGGGUGAAAAGCCCGCUCGCCGGAAGACCAAGGGUUCCUGUCCAACGUUAAUCGGGGCAGGGUGAGUCGACCCCUAAGGCGAGGCCGAAAGGCGUAGUCGAUGGGAAACGGGUUAAUAUUCCCGUACUUGGUGUUACUGCGAAGGGGGGACGGAGAAGGCUAUGUUGGCCGGGCGACGGUUGUCCCGGUUUAAGCGUGUAGGUGUGUGUUCCAGGUAAAUCCGGUUCACUUUAACACUGAGGCGUGACGACGAGGCACUACGGUGCUGAAGCAACAAAUGCCCUGCUUCCAGGAAAAGCCUCUAAGCAUCAGGUAACAUCAAAUCGUACCCCAAACCGACACAGGUGGUCAGGUAGAGAAUACCAAGGCGCUUGAGAGAACUCGGGUGAAGGAACUAGGCAAAAUGGUGCCGUAACUUCGGGAGAAGGCACGCUGACAUGUAGGUGAAGUGAUUUACUCAUGGAGCUGAAGUCAGUCGAAGAUACCAGCUGGCUGCAACUGUUUAUUAAAAACACAGCACUGUGCAAACACGAAAGUGGACGUAUACGGUGUGACGCCUGCCCGGUGCCGGAAGGUUAAUUGAUGGGGUCAGCGCAAGCGAAGCUCCUGAUCGAAGCCCCGGUAAACGGCGGCCGUAACUAUAACGGUCCUAAGGUAGCGAAAUUCCUUGUCGGGUAAGUUCCGACCUGCACGAAUGGCGUAAUGAUGGCCAGGCUGUCUCCACCCGAGACUCAGUGAAAUUGAACUCGCUGUGAAGAUGCAGUGUACCCGCGGCAAGACGGAAAGACCCCGUGAACCUUUACUAUAGCUUGACACUGAACAUUGAGCCUUGAUGUGUAGGAUAGGUGGGAGGCUUUGAAGUGUGGACGCCAGUCUGCAUGGAGCCGACCUUGAAAUACCACCCUUUAAUGUUU